AAACAACGCUGGCGGCGUGCUUAACACAUGCAAGUCGCGUGCGCAGUUGCUGUAGCAAUACAGUGAUGGGCGCACGGCGCACGGGUGCGUAACACGUGGGCAAUCUGCCCUCUGAUGGGGAAUAACCCCGCGAAAGCGGGGCUAAUUCCGCAUAACAUUCCCCGGACUCAGGUUAGGGGAUUCAAAGCAGUGAUGCGUCGGAGGAGGAGCCCGCGCCCGAUUAGCUAGUUGGUGAGGUAACGGCUCACCAAGGCAAUGAUCGGUAGCUGGUCUGAGAGGAUGAUCAGCCACACUGGAACUGAGACACGGUCCAGACUCCUACGGGAGGCAGCAGUGGGGAAUCUUGCACAAUGGGCGAAAGCCUGAUGCAGCGACGCCGCGUGGGGGAUGAAGCUUUUCGGAGUGUAAACCCCUUUCGACCGGGACGAAUGCCCGCAAGGGAGUGACGGUACCGGUAUAAGAAGCCCCGGCUAACUACGUGCCAGCAGCCGCGGUAAGACGUAGGGGGCCAGCGUUGUUCGGAAUUACUGGGUGUAAAGGGUUCGUAGGCGGUGUGGCAAGUUGGGAGUGAAAUCUCAAGGCUCAACCUA
rnacentral:rRNA from 1 species